ACCAAGUAUAAGAGGUCCAGCCUGCCCAGUGACCGCAAGUUUAACGGCCGCGGUAUUUUGACCGUGCAAAGGUAGCGCAAUCACUUGUCUUUUAAAUAAAGACCUGUAUGAAUGGCUAAACGAGGGCUUAACUGUCUCCCUUUUCAAGUCAGUGAAAUUGAUCUACCCGUGCAGAAGCGGGUAUAAUUAUACAAGACGAGAAGACCCUUUGGAGCUUAAGGCGUAAAACUCAACCACGUCAAGCGACUCAAUAAAAAGCAACUUUUUGAACCUUGUGGUAAGUGAGACUAUUGCCUUCGGUUGGGGCGACCACGGAGAAAAAGAAAGCCUCCAAGUGGAAUGGGGAAGUACCCUAGAACCAAGAGAGACAUCUCUAAGCUACAGAACAUCUGACCAUAAAUGACCCGGCUAACCAAGACCGAUCAACGAACCAAGUUACCCUAGGGAUAACAGCGCAAUCCUCUCCCAGAGUCCAUAUCGACGAGGGGGUUUACGACCUCGAUGUUGGAUCAGGACAUCCUAAUGGUGCAGCCGCUAUUAAGGGUUCGUUUGUUCAACGAUUAAAGUCCUACGUGA
rnacentral:rRNA from 1 species